GUAGGUGGCAAGCGUUGUCCGGAAUUAUUGGGCGUAAAGCGCGCGCAGGCGGUUCUUUAAGUCUGAUGUGAAAGCCCACGGCUCAACCGUGGAGGGUCAUUGGAAACUGGAGAACUUGAGUACAGAAGAGGAAAGCGGAAUUCCACGUGUAGCGGUGAAAUGCGUAGAGAUGUGGAGGAACACCAGUGGCGAAGGCGGCUUUCUGGUCUAUAACUGACGCUGAGGCGCGAAAGCGUGGGGAGCAAACAGGAUUAGAUACCCUGGUAGUCCACGCCGUAAACGAUGAGUGCUAAGUGUUAGGGGGGUUUCCGCCCCCCUUAGUGCUGCAGCUAACGCAUUAAGCACUCCGCCUGGGAGUACGGCCGCAAGGCUG
rnacentral:rRNA from 1 species